rnacentral:rRNA from 1 species
UGGGGAAUAUUGCGCAAUGGGGGGAACCCUGACGCAGCCAUGCCGCGUGAAUGAAGAAGGCCUUCGGGUUGUAAAGUUCUUUCGGUAUUGAGGAAGGUUGAUGUGUUAAUAGCACAUCAAAUUGACGUUAAAUACAGAAGAAGCACCGGCUAACUCCGUGCCAGCAGCCGCGGUAGUACGGAGGGUGCGAGCGUUAAUCGGAAUAACUGGGCGUAAAGGGCACGCAGGCGGUUAUUUAAGUGAGGUGUGAAAGCCCUGGGCUUAACCUAGGAAUUGCAUUUCAGACUGGGUAACUAGAGUACUUUAGGGAGGGGUAGAAUUCCACGUGUAGCGGUGAAAUGCGUAGAGAUGUGGAGGAAUACCGAAGGCGAAGGCAGCCCCUUGGGAAUGUACUGACGCUCAUGUGCGAAAGCGUGGGGAGCAAACAGGAUUAGAUACCCUGGUAGUCCACGCUGUAAACGCUGUCGAUUUGGGGAUUGGGCUUAGAGCUUGGUGCCCGUAGCUAACGUGAUAAAUCGACCGCCUGGGGAGUACGGCCGCAAGGUUA